rnacentral:lncRNA from 10 species
GGAGAAAAGAGAAAUUUGGUUUGAAAUGAAAUUUGAGUCUUGAGAGAGGGCUGAUAUGAAGGAGAAUCAAACAAGCCACAUGGGAGCAUCUGAAGGCCUGGAGAUAAGGGCCUGUUGCAUGGCUGUGAAAAUUUGGCCUUUAAAAUAACUAGGCAUGGGCCAGAAAUCACAGCCGGCGGCUGCGACCACCCAAGGCAGGAGAUCCAGCGGGGGACUAUGGAGCUCAGUGGAGCUGCGGCCUGGGAGAAGCCCACCCAAGAGAACCAUGUAACUAGAAACCAUCACAUUCGGCUUCGUGUGAGGGAGAAGCAGGUGUUUCAUUGCACGCAGUUACUGAGAUCUGGGGUUGUUUGUUAUUGCAGCAAGGACCCACCCUAACACACGAGGUGUUAUAUGCAUUUUACAGAUUGCCAAGAUGGUACAGACAGCAGAAGUGGCAAAACAACACUUAAACUCAAACCUGCCCAACUUCAAAGUCCACGCCCUUCCCUGGGCUUCAGACUGCCGUCUUUGAUGCUAUCUUUCAUUGAGAUGUUGUUUGCAUUAAAUGGGGGAUCUUGCGGCACACGGUGGACCUUGCCCAGCACCCACUCUUCCUAGGGCCAGCCUUACUCUGUGGGGUCAGCCUUUGACCGUCUGGGCCAUGAAGGUGGCUGAUGAGGCCCCUUCGACAGCCAAGUUGGGGCACAAUCUCCUCCGGAUGUUGUUAUUCCUUCACAGUCUCAUCGCAGGCGGGGAGGAAGUCAGAGGGCUGAUUUAGAGGACAGAGAUACAAACAGAGUGAGCAGAGGAUGUUUGGCUGCAGUUGCUCCAGAGUUUCAAGGGAGAAAACACAAGCAUUGCUGAGCGGCCAUUAGGGGCUUGCACGCUCAGCUGGGCACAUGUCCACACCGAGGCAUCACGUGCGGUCUGAGCUGAGCUCUCAUCUCUGGGUUUCAGGACUUUCAGCACAGUCCUGGCCCUUCACGUUUAGUCUGGGUGAUCAGGGAUGUAAACCAGCAAUUGCAAGGUGGUGAAGCACCACCGUGGAAGGGCACCAGCCGGGCCCUGGGGUCACAGAAGUGCCCCAGGAAGUGUGGCCGUUAAGCCUGGUGAGAGGAGAGCGAGCCGGGAGGACGGUGAGAGACAGGCAUGACGGGGCGGUGAGUGUGACUGCUGCUGAGCAUGUCUGAGACGGCAGGCAGUCACCAAAGGCUUGUAAGCAGAGGCAACACCCUGACUUGUGGUUUGGAGAGAUCAUGGUGACUGCCGUGCAGGGACGGAAUGGAGGCUGCUCCAGUGACUCUGGCCGUGGGCAGUGGUGGGCGGGUGAGGGGACAGAGGAAAGUGGAUGGAGUUGCUGCCCCCACAACCCUGCUGAGAAAGUGCCCACGGGACCUGGCGGGGUGUGAGUCACACUUGGGCUGCUCUGCCUGGCUCUGCACCUAUUUCGUGAGCUGGAAGGGACAGCCUGAGCCCCGUCCCUUGGAUGGACAUCAAUGCAGGACUCCCCAUUUCCGGCAUCUCGGCUUGGCAGGACCCCUCCAGGACCUCACUCCUCUGAGACGCACUGCAGACCUCACAGGUGACAGCAGCGUUUUGCUGACUCAGAGGCAACUACCACGAUGACCCUCCAGCCCGUGUCCAGACCUGGGGCAGCGACUUGGACAGGGGGCUGCAGAAGUGGGUCUGUGAGGGGGACCUGACGGGGGGCUGCAGAAGUGGGUCUGUGAGGCGGACCUGGGGGGGCAGCCCUGGGGUGGGCUCACUGGGGUUCACUCCACCUCGAAGACUUCAAUUCCAGCUCUGGCUGGUUUUGUUGGAUUAGGAACACACAGCCAGCCAAAUCUUGGUUACUAGGGUGCCAGAGAUCACGUGGAGAAAUGAAAUAAAGAGAGAACCCCCAAACGGUGGUGCUGCCAUGCAUUGGAGCCUCUCGCCCCAACAGCAUUCUUACUUUAUUUAUUUAUUUCUCAUCCACAUUUUGCUGGAAGAUUUUGCGCAUUCAUAAUGGCAAACAGAAUAUGGCGAUAAGCUUCUGUGUACACUAUCAUCAACAGCUUUCAAUUCCUAAUUAACCUUAUUUUAUCAAUAUUCCCCAUAAUCCCCCAUGCUGUUUCUUG